AUUGAACGCUGGCGGCAGGCCUAACACAUGCAAGUCGAACGGUAACAGGAAGAAGCUUGCUUCUUUGCUGACGAGUGGCGGACGGGUGAGUAAUGUCUGGGAAACUGCCUGAUGGAGGGGGAUAACUACUGGAAACGGUAGCUAAUACCGCAUAACGUCGCAAGACCAAAGAGGGGGACCUUCGGGCCUCUUGCCAUCGGAUGUGCCCAGAUGGGAUUAGCUUGUUGGUGGGGUAACGGCUCACCAAGGCGACGAUCCCUAGCUGGUCUGAGAGGAUGACCAGCCACACUGGAACUGAGACACGGUCCAGACUCCUACGGGAGGCAGCAGUGGGGAAUAUUGCACAAUGGGCGCAAGCCUGAUGCAGCCAUGCCGCGUGUAUGAAGAAGGCCUUCGGGUUGUAAAGUACUUUCAGCGGGGAGGAAGGGAGUAAAGUUAAUACCUUGGCUCAUUGACGUUACCCGCAGAAGAAGCACCGGCUAACUCCGUG
rnacentral:rRNA from 1 species